rnacentral:misc_RNA from 1 species
GUGAAUCAUCGAAUCUUUGAACGCAUAUUGCACUCUCGGGUAUUCCUGGGAGUAUGCCUAUUUGAGGAUCAUUUAAAAUAAUAUAAUUUUCUAGAUUUUCUUGAAAUCAAAAAUGGGUCGGUCCAGCUGUCGUGUGUGGGUCGCCUAGAAUGCAAGACAUGCUCAUGUCUUGGGUUGCGUGAUACUUGCAGUUACCUCGUGACUUCGCAAGAAAUCUGCGAGCGUGUGAAUAAUUGUGCAAGAAAUAAACGUCAUAUAUCUCGAUCUCCAUAUUUAAUUGAAUCAUGACCUCAAAUUAGGU